UAUGGCCACACCAUAUUGAAAUACUAGUUCCCAUAAAGAUCACCAAAGUUAAGCAACAUCGAGGCUAGUUGGUAUCUCAAUGGGUGACCACUUGGAAAUACCAGGUGCUGUAAG